UACGUAGGGUCCAAGCGUUAUCCGGAAUUACUGGGCGUAAAGAGUUGCGUAGGUGGCAAAGUAAGCGAUACAUUAAAUCUCACGGCUCAACCGUGAAUCCAUGUGUCGAACUACUUAGCUAGAGCAUGGGAGAGGUAGAUGGAAUUUCUAGUGUAGGAGUGAAAUCCGUAGAUAUUAGAAGGAACACCGAUGGCGUAGGCAGUCUACUGGCCCAUUGCUGACACUAAGGCACGAAAGCGUGGGGAGCGAACGGG
rnacentral:rRNA from 1 species